UAACACGGAGGGUGCAAGCGUUGUUCGGAAUUACUGGGCGUAAAGGGCGUGUAGGCGGCUUGGUAAGUCUGAAGUGAAAUCCGUCGGCUCAACCGACGAACUGCUUCAGAUACUGCCUCGCUUGAGUACGGGAGAGGAAAGCGGAAUUCCCAGUGUAGAGGUGAAAUUCGUAGAUAUUGGGAAGAACACCGGUGGCGAAGGCGGCUUUCUGGACCGAUACUGACGCUGAGACGCGAAAGCGUGGGGAGCAAACAGGAUUAGAUACCCUGGUAGUCCACGCCGUAAACGGUGAGUACUAGGUGUAGGGGGUACCAACCCCCUCUGUGCCGCAGCUAACGCAUUAAGUACUCCGCCUGGGGACUACGGCCGCAAGGCUA
rnacentral:rRNA from 1 species